rnacentral:rRNA from 1 species
AACGAACGCUGGCGGCAUGCCUAACACAUGCAAGUCGAACGAGACCUUCGGGUCUAGUGGCGCACGGGUGCGUAACGCGUGGGAACCUGCCCUUAGGUUCGGAAUAACUCCCCGAAAGGGGUGCUAAUACCGGAUAAUGUCUUCGGACCAAAGAUUUAUCGCCUUUGGAUGGGCCCGCGUUGGAUUAGCUAGUUGGUAGGGUAAAAGCCUACCAAGGCGACGAUCCAUAGCUGGUCUGAGAGGAUGAUCAGCCACACUGGGACUGAGACACGGCCCAGACUCCUACGGGAGGAAGCAGUGGGGAAUAGUGGAAAAUGGGCGAAAGCCUGAGCCAGCAAUGCCGGGUGAGUGAUGAAGGCCUUAGGGUUGUAAAGCUCUUUUACCCGGGAUGAUAAUGACAGUACCGGGAGAAUAAGCUCCGGCUAACUCCGUG